UACGUAGGGCGCAAGCGUUGUCCGGAAUUAUUGGGCGUAAAGAGCUCGUAGGUGGUUUGUCGCGUCUGCCGUGAAAGCCCGGGGCUUAACUCCGGGUCUGCGGUGGGUACGGGCAGACUAGAGUGAUGUAGGGGAGACUGGAAUUCCUGGUGUAGCGGUGAAAUGCGCAGAUAUCAGGAGGAACACCGAUGGCGAAGGCAGGUCUCUGGGCAUUAACUGACGCUGAGGAGCGAAAGCAUGGGGAGCGAACAGG
rnacentral:rRNA from 1 species